rnacentral:rRNA from 1 species
GAUGAACGCUGGCGGCGUGCCUAAUACAUGCAAGUCGAGCGAAUGGACUAAGAGCUUGCUCUUAUGAAGUUAGCGGCGGACGGGUGAGUAACACGUGGGUAACCUGCCCAUAAGACUGGGAUAACUCCGGGAAACCGGGGCUAAUACCGGAUAACAUUUUGAACCGCAUGGUUCGAAAUUGAAAGGCGGCUUCGGCUGUCACUUAUGGAUGGACCCGCGUCGCAUUAGCUAGUUGGUGAGGUAACGGCUCACCAAGGCAACGAUGCGUAGCCGACCUGAGAGGGUGAUCGGCCACACUGGGACUGAGACACGGCCCAGACUCCUACGGGAGGCAGCAGUAGGGAACCUUCCGCAAUGGACGAAAGUCUGACGGAGCAACGCCGCGUGAGUGAUGAAGGCUUUCGGGUCGUAAAACUCUGUUGUUAGGGAAGAACAAGUGCUAGUUGAAUAAGCUGACACCUUGACGGUACCUAACCAGAAAGCCACGGCUAACUACGUGCCAGCCGCCGCAGUAA